rnacentral:ncRNA from 1 species
UUCGAGAAAUGCGGGUUGUAGUUGAUGAAGGUGAAGCCGCGCGCCUGAUCGAUGAUGUGAAACAGCGGGUUCCAGCUGAACAUCACCAGCAUCUUGUGCGGCAGCGUAUUGGCCAGGAACAUCUUGCCCGAGGCGAUCAUGUUCACCCGG